GAUGAACGCUGGCGGCGUGCUUAACACAUGCAAGUCGAACGGAAAGGCCCAAGCUUGCUUGGGUACUCGAGUGGCGAACGGGUGAGUAACACGUGGGUGAUCUGCCCUGCACUUCGGGAUAAGCCUGGGAAACUGGGUCUAAUACCGGAUAGGACCACUUCUUGGAUGUUGUGGUGGAGAGUUUUUUCGGUGUGGGGUGAGCUCGCGGCCUAUCAGCUUGUUGGUGGGGUAAUGGCCUACCAAGGCGUCGACGGGUAGCCGGGCUGAGAGGGUGUACGGCGACAUUGGGACUUAGGUAAGGCCCAGACGCCGACGGGAGGCAGCAGGGGGGAAUAUUGAACAAUGGGGGCAAGGCUGAUGCAGCGAGGCCGCGGGGGGGAAGACGGCCUUCGGGGUGUAAAAGCCUUUCGCUAGGGACGAAGCGUUUUGUGACGGUACCUGGAGAAGAAGCACCGGCUAACUACGUG
rnacentral:rRNA from 1 species